AUUGAACGCUGGCGGCAGGCUUAACACAUGCAAGUCGAACGAGUGGCGGACGGGUGAGUAAUGCUUGGGCAUCUGGCUUCUGGAGGGGGAUAACGACGGGGAACUGUCGCUAAUACCGCGUACACUAGGAUGAGCCCAAGUGGGAUUAGGGAGUUGGUGGGGUAAAGGCCUGCCAAGCCGACGAUCUCUAGCUGGUCUGAGAGGAUGAACAGCCACACCGGAACGGAGACACGGCCCGGACUCCUACGGGAGGCAGCAGGGGGGAAUAUUGGGCAAUGGGGGAAAGCCUGACGCAGCCAUGCCGCGUGAAUGAAGAAGGCCUUCGGGUUGUAAAGUUCUUUAGGUGGGGAGGCGUUACCCACAGAAGAAGCACCGGCUAACUCCGUGCCAGCAGCCGCGGUAAUUC
rnacentral:rRNA from 1 species